GGCAAGGUGGUCGAGUGGUUAAGACGUAAGACUGUAUGUGUUAUCCCGCCUUUCUCUGAUCGAGAAAUUAUUGUACUAAUUCCACUCCAGUGAAUCCUAAAACGGAUGUUAUCUUAUCCCUUCGGGGUCGCGCGUUCAAAUCGCGUCCUUGUCG